GUGAGGAAUAUUGGUCAAUGGGCUUACGCCUGAACCAGCCAAGUCGCGUGAGGGAAGACUGCCCUAUGGGUUGUAAACCUCUUUUGUCAGGGAGCAACAACAUCUACGAGUAGGUGUUACGAGAGUACCUGAAGAAAAAG
rnacentral:rRNA from 1 species